rnacentral:lncRNA from 1 species
CCCGUCCUGCAGCUCGGCUCCGGCCCCACGCUGCGAGUGCGCGUGGGGUUCCCGUCCCACACUGGGAUGGUGCGGGGAGAAAUACCCCCUCCGGGGCUGCUCGGAGCGUGGGGCAGUGGGACACGCUGCUUAACUUCUGCUGGCUGCAUCUCCUGGAAGGAAAAUGAGCUGGGAUUGCAUUCCUGCAAGCAGUAAUGGGAGGUUUUAACAUCCACGCUGACCAAGCAGCAGGAUGCCAACCCAGUGAUAUAAUUGAAGUCUCCUGGCUCCGAUUUCUACCAUCCUCAUUCUGAUCACUGCGGGAUGAAAGAAGAUAUUUUCGACGUGGGGAAGGAAAUACCCUACUGCAUUGAGCAGGCACAGACCUGACCAGCAUGUGUGGGGAUGUUUGGCACCAGUGCUUCAAAGGAAAAUGGUGAAGAGGAACGAAGGAAAUAUUGUCCUUUUUCUUGAGCUGGUUGUUUUGUCUACUUGCUCCAUGAACUCCC